AUGCACGCUGGCGGCGUGCCUAAUCCAUGCAAGUCGAGCGAACGGACGAGAAGCUUGCUUCUCUGAUGUUAGCGGCGGACGGGUGAGUAACACGUGGAUAACCUACCUAUAAGACUGGGAUAACCUCGGGAAACCGGAGCUAAUACCGGAUAAUAUUUUGAACCGCAUGGUUCAAAAGUGAAAGACGGUCUUGCUGUCACUUAUAGAUGGAUCCGCGCUGCAUUAGCUAGUUGGUAAGGUAACGGCUUACCAAGGCAACGAUGCAUAGCCGACCUGAGAGGGUGAUCGGCCACACUGGAACUGAGACACGGUCCAGACUCCUACGGGAGGCAGCAGUAGGGAAUCUUCCGCAAUGGGCGAAAGCCUGACGGAGCAACGCCGCGUGAGUGAUGAAGGUCUUCGGAUCGUAAAACUCUGUUAUUAGGGAAGAACAUAUGUGUAAGUAACUGUGCACAUCUUGACGGUACCUAAUCAGAAAGCCACGGCUAACUACGUG
rnacentral:rRNA from 1 species